CCUACGGGAGGCAGCAGUGGGGAAUAUUGCACAAUGGGGGAAACCCUGAUGCAGCGACGCCGCGUGAGUGAAGAAGUAAUUCGUUAUGUAAAGCUCUAUCAGCAGGGAAGAAAAUGACGGUACCUGAGUAAGAAGCCCCGGCUAACUACGUGCCAGCAGCCGCGGUAAUACGUAGGGGGCAAGCGAUAUCCGGAUUUACUGGGUGUAAAGGGAGCGUAGACGGCAGUGCAAGUCUGGAGUGAAAGGCGGGGGCUCAACCCCCGGACUGCUCUGGAAACUGUACGGCGGGAGUGCAGGAGAGGUAAGUGGAAGUCCUAGUGUAGCGGUGAAAUGCGGAGAUAUUAGGAGGAACACCAGUGGCGAAGGCGGCUUACUGGACUGUAACUGACGUUGAGGCUCGAAAGCGUGGGGAGCAAACAGGAUUAGAUACCCGAGUAGUC
rnacentral:rRNA from 1 species